CUUUCACAAAAGACAAGCGCAUGUGUGUCCCACUCACAUUUCCAUGUGACAUACUGUCUCUUCACUUUUAAAGGAUCUAUUCAUUUCUUUUAAAGAUAGUUUUCUUUGUAAUCCUUAAAAGGCACACUGUGCACCUGGCACUUAAAUAUUCUUUGAAAUGUAGGGUCAGUAUCUAUUUUCAUGAGUUCAGGAUCCGAGGCCACUAUUUCUGAGUGUGUUACUCUUCUCACAUAGCUGGUUGCUUCCCCAUGUGGUUUUAAUUCUUCAGUAUGUACUUAUUUUUAAUGAGCAUUAUUAUUGUCUGUCUGUCUGUCUGUCUCCGUCUGUCUCUGUCUCUUUCUUUGUCUGUCUGUCUCUCUGUGUGCUAGAAAGGCACACACCAUAUGCAUUUUGGCUCAACACGCUAAAGUUUAUUUUUUUUUCACGCAGUAUCUGCAGCUGCUCCCCAGGCAAUGAUUCUGCAAUCCAGCUGUUUCCAUCUAGUGCCUGAACUAUCACCCCAUGAUGUAGCUGCCAGUGUCCCUGAGGAGAGAAAAGGGAAAGCAGAUCCUGAAGCUUUUCUUCUAAGCUUCAGCCCAGUAGUGAUGUGGAUCAUGCCCUGGUCAUGGUCCAGAAAUAGUCACAUGAUCCUGGCUAAUCGCACUGGCCCGAAGAGUGAGGGAAUGCAAGGACAUUGGUAAUCAAAAGUUCUUUUGUCCCUCCUUCCCAUUCCAGACCUCUCCACUCCCAGGGGAAGCAACCUGGACAUCCAUCCAGUCUUUUACUCCAGCUCCAACCCCAUCAGAUCCUGGCGCGGCUCCUCCCUGCCUUGAGUCCUACGCAAAAACAAAAGCUCUCUGCCUCUUCCUGCAAACACAGAUGCCUGGCCCGCUCCUCACCACGCCGAUAAAAACGAGACCCUAUCAAUGAAUGCUUCCAUUCAGAAAAGGAUUCCCGGAAGUCCAUCUAAUGCUUGGCUGUGGCUCUCUGCAUCUUUUUCUAUCAGUUACUGAGUGAAGCUUCUCCUAUGACAACUGGAUUAGGCAACAACCUGUACAUUCUUGUGUUCUCAUGUUCCCCAAAGGGUUCACGAUUGGAGAAGUCUUAUUGCUGGAACAUUGGAGAGUGAGGCAAUGGAGCACGCAUUUGGUCACCAGGCUAUGCUAUCCCUGGGGGUGUAAGUAUUCAACUGAGAAUGCAGCUAACACUCACUAAUGAAGACAUCCAAUCUGUGUGGAGCCGUUCCACUUCUCAGAGGACACUGGAAAGAUUAGAAGAGAGAGGACGCGCAGAUCGCUUUUUAAACAGGCACGCAUUGUAGAGAAGAGAAUCUUCCGUGUAGCAAAGAACCAAAGAUAUGGGAUCAUGCUGGGCAUGGAAAGAUUGAACCGAGAUGGGUUCAUACAAUGCUAGAAAGGAAGCGUCAAGGGGUCAAAGCAGCCAUGACUGAAAUGCACUUUCCAACGCAGGCGGGAGCCUUGUAUUCAUUAGCUGCUGGAAAUAGAAAUCACUCUAAACAUGAUGUAAGUAAACUCCUGGGGAAAAUCAGUGUGCUUGGGUACAGAGUCGAUGGCAAGGACAUCCAAUUCUAUCUUGGCACCAGGUAGCCUCGCUCCUACCAGCCUGUCCCACAGUUAUGGUGAAAUGAGAGACCACAGGGAGGCAGCUUCAGAGCACUCCAAAGGCUAAAGCUGUGUCUUCAAUUUAGACUAUUUAUAAACACCCACUUGUUAACACUUAGUAACUGACACAACAGUAAUAACAUGAGCAAAUGCUUACUGGUAGCCAACAGCAUCCUGAGUCCCAACCCUCAAGCUCAUCCAUCCUCUCCAUAAUCCUAUGAGGAUGCUAUGCAAGGCCACACUGUCAAUGCAAGUGGAGGGAGUUCAAUCCCCUAAGUUGAAGGCCUGAUCUCUUCACCUUGGUUGGAGGGGAAGUAUGGAGAAUACAAAGUGGGUUCUGGAGAAAUAGGCUGCUUUAGCCCACACAGAUUCUACAAAGCUGAUCCAAGACCCAACAGAAAUCUUCCACAGAUGCUCACCACAUCUGUCACUUUGUGGGUAUCGGAACAGAACAUUUUUUUUUUUUUUUAGCAUGGAGCCCAUAGAGGGAUUUGAAUGGAAUUCCUCACAAAACUCCCACCCCUUCUCCAAAGCAUGCUGGGACAACUGGAGAUGUUCCAGAGUGUGCUUCAUGCCCAUAAUCUUAUAAAAGUAUGGAACUGAUCAAGCCAGAUGAAACUCCAUUUCGCUCUGCAUCAGUGAGAUGCUCACACGGUUGUCAUUAGGCAGGGAGCAGCUGGAGCUGCCCAUGGCCUUGUUCUUUGUGAGCAAAGAUGACAAACAGGGAGUCUCCAUUUGGGGAUGGUUAACAAAGGGGUACUGCAUCCCCCCGGGAAUGUGUUUGAAGGAAGGCAAGAAUGAUUCCCUCCGUCCAGCUGAUGGGUCCAUUUCUGGAAGGAAGAGUGGGGACAAGACUAGGGCUUCUUCCAGAACAUUCAGACUCCUUGGACCUCGUAACAGGACGAGUAUAAGAUUAUUCUCCAUGCUGAUUAGCUUAUGAUGCCACUAAACAGUGGAAACAGGUUAUGACCCGUGAGAUCCUUUGAACACAAGCCCUAAAUAUCUGUGUCUAGAAUGGGAAAGUGUCUUCUGAACACCCAGAAAAGUUCAUGUUCAGUUUUCUGUGUCUGUGUGGGUCAGUCACUUAGGCCAUUUGUCAAAUUCCCUGGGUCCAUAUCCAAGCUCUUCCAUUUACUGACUGUGUUUACCUUGGACAAGUUGUUUAGUCAUUCUGUGCCUUUUACUUCUCAUGUGUAAAGGGGAUGUGUAAAAGAGAUAUUUAGCCCUUUGUGGGGCUUUCAGGAGGAUCAGAUCAUAAAAUACAUGAAAAGUGCAUAUGUUGGUAUAUGGCAUAUUCAAUGUUCAAUGAAUAUGAGCUGCUGUUAUUUUGUAUCUAUUACUGCCGUUUUAAGUAUUUCCAAUAUUUAAGUCUGUGACCAUUUUCAGUACAGAGUCUCUGCAUUCUGCUUCUAUAUUACCACCUGCAACAGCAUUUAGUAUAUGAUAGACCAUC